GACGAACGCUGGCGGCGUGCUUAACACAUGCAAGUCGAACGGAAAGGCCCUGCUUUUGUGGGGUGCUCGAGUGGCGAACGGGUGAGUAACACGUGAGUAACCUGCCCUUGACUUUGGGAUAACUUCAGGAAACUGGGGCUAAUACCGGAUAGGAGCUCCUGCUGCAUGGUGGGGGUUGGAAAGUUUCGGCGGUUGGGGAUGGACUCGCGGCUUAUCAGCUUGUUGGUGGGGUAGUGGCUUACCAAGGCUUUGACGGGUAGCCGGCCUGAGAGGGUGACCGGCCACAUUGGGACUGAGAUACGGCCCAGACUCCUACGGGAGGCAGCAGUGGGGAAUAUUGCACAAUGGGCGGAAGCCUGAUGCAGCAACGCCGCGUGCGGGAUGACGGCCUUCGGGUUGUAAACCGCUUUCGCCUGUGACGAAGCGUGAGUGACGGUAAUGGGUAAAGAAGCACCGGCUAACUACGUGCCAGCAGCCGCGGUGAUACGUAGGGUGCGAGCGUUGUCCGGAUUUAUUGGGCGUAAAGGGCUCGUAGGUGGUUGAUCGCGUCGGAAGUGUAAUCUUGGGGCUUAACCCUGAGCGUGCUUUCGAUACGGGUUGACUUGAGGAAGGCAGGGGAGAAUGGAAUUCCUGGUGGAGCGGUGGAAUGCGCAGAUAUCAGGAGGAACACCAGUGGCGAAGGCGGUUCUCUGGGCCUUUCCUGACGCUGAGGAGCGAAAGCGUGGGGAGCGAACAGGCUUAGAUACCCUGGUAGUCCACGCUGUAAACGGUGGGUACUAGGUGUGGGGUCCAUUCCACGGGUUCCGUGCCGUAGCUAACGCUUUAAGUACCCCGCCUGGGGAGUACGGCCGCAAGGCUAAAACUCAAAGGAAUUGACGGGGCCCCGCACAAGCGGCGGAGCAUGCGGAUUAAUUCGAUGCAACGCGUAGAACCUUACCUGGGUUUGACAUGGAUCGGGAGUGCUCAGAGAUGGGUGUGCCUCUUUUGGGGUCGGUUCACAGGUGGUGCAUGGCUGUCGUCAGCUCGUGUCGUGAGAUGUUGGGUUAAGUCCCGCAACGAGCGCAACCCUUGUUCACUGUUGCCAGCACGUUAUGGUGGGGACUCAGUGGAGACCGCCGGGGUCAACUCGGAGGAAGGUGGGGAUGACGUCAAGUCAUCAUGCCCCUUAUGUCCAGGGCUUCACGCAUGCUACAAUGGCUGGUACAGAGAGUGGCGAGCCUGUGAGGGUGAGCGAAUCUCGGAAAGCCGGUCUCAGUUCGGAUUGGGGUCUGCAACUCGACCUCAUGAAGUCGGAGUCGCUAGUAAUCGCAGAUCAGCAACGCUGCGGUGAAUACGUUCCCGGG
rnacentral:rRNA from 1 species